UUCCUAACGUGUGGGAAAGGGAAAGAAUGGCUCUUUCCUCCUCUGUUCUCUAGGAGGGGUCAUGCAUUCUGGAAAAUAAUGCAGAGUGGUACAGGCUGAAGCGGAGCGGAGAGGACACUGUUUCAAGAUUCCUGCGCCAGCUCCUUCGUUGUUAUAGAAGUUGGACUAAAUAAAAGGGUAAUCACAAGCGUACAGAUAACAGGCAGGCAGGAAUGUGAAAAUCAGAGAGAAGAGAGAUGUGCACCAGAAGCUGGAGUAAUGUGCUUUGAAGAUGGAGGAAGGGACCAUAAAUCAAGGAAUGCAGACAGCCUGUAGAAGCUGGGAAAGGCAAGGAUGUGGAUUCACUCGAGUCUCUAGAAGAAACGCAACCCCGCCAACACCUUGAUUUGAGGACGUCUGACCUUCAGAAUGAGAAAAUGAUACAUUUGUGUUGUAAGCCACCCAGUUUGUGAAAUAUGUAUCAACAAUUGAAAACUAGUACAUAGUCAAAUACUCAAUCUCUGUUUUUUUUAGCUUAUCAUUUUCAAUCUCUGUCUCCAACCCACAAACCACAUGCAUCAUAAAUAAAUUAAAAUACCAAAACUUUUCUUCUAGAA
rnacentral:lncRNA from 1 species